UCUUCUCGAUAAUAUUUUGAAGUCUGGCCUGCUCACUGAAUAUUUUUAAAGAGCCGCGGUAUUUUGACCGUGCAAAGGUAGCAUAAUCAUUAGUUUCUUAAUUAGAGGCUUGAAUGAAUGGUUUGACGAGAAAUUAACUGUCUCUUAAUAAUUUUUAGAAUUUAACUUUUAAGUUAAAAGGCUUAAAUUUUCUUUUAGGACGAGAAGACCCUAUAGAGCUUAACAUUUAUAUAUUUUUAUAUUAUUUUGGAUUAUUUUUAAUUGAAUAUUUUUAAUGUUUGGUUGGGGUGACUUGAAGAAUAAAUAAACUCUUCAUUAUUAAAUCAUUGAUUUAUGUUUAUUUGAUCCAUAAUUUAUGAUCAUAAGAUUAAGUUACCUUAGGGAUAACAGCGUAAUCAUUUUUAAGAGUUCAUAUCGACAAAAUGGGUUGCGACCUCGAUGUUGGAUUAAGAUUAAUUUUAGGUGUAGUAGCUUAAUAAU
rnacentral:rRNA from 1 species